GAUGAACGCUGGCGGCGUGCCUAAUACAUGCAAGUCGAGCGAACGGACGAGAAGCUUGCUUCUCUGAUGUUAGCGGCGGACGGGUGAGUAACACGUGGAUAACCUACCUACAAGACUGGGAUAACUUCGGGAAACCGUAGCUAAUACCGGAUAAUAUUUUGAACCGCAUGGUUCAAAAGUGAAAGACGGUCUUGCUGUCACUUAUAGAUGGAUCCGCGCUGCAUUAGCUAGUUGGUAAGGUAACGGCUUACCAAGGCAACGAUGCAUAGCCGACCUGAGAGGGUGAUCGGCCACACUGGAACUGAGACACGGUCCAGACUCCUACGGGAGGCAGCAGUAGGGAAUCUUCCGCAAUGGGCGAAAGCCUGACGGAGCAACGCCGCGUGAGUGAUGAAGGUCUUCGGAUCGUAAAACUCUGUUAUUAGGGAAGAACAUAUGUGUAAGCAACUGUGCACAUCUUGACGGUACCUAAUCAGAAAGCCACGGCUAACUACGUG
rnacentral:rRNA from 1 species